rnacentral:rRNA from 1 species
CGGACGUGAGCAAUCUGCCUUUAAUAGGGGGAUAACAGUCGGAAACGGCUGCUAAUACCGCAUAAAGCAUUGAAACCGCAUGAUUUUGAUGCCAAAGGAGCAAUCCGCUUUUAGAUGAGCUCGCGUCUGAUUAGCUAGUUGGCGGGGUAACGGCCCACCAAGGCGACGAUCAGUAGCCGGACUGAGAGGUUGAACGGCCACAUUGGGACUGAGACACGGCCCAG